rnacentral:lncRNA from 1 species
CAGAUGGCCUCCAUUCCCUCUGCGUUUGCCUCCAAGAUCAUGCGCGGGACAUUCUGAGAAACCAUGCCCAGAGACAAAAAGGAAGCUUGGCGUUGUGAAAAAGCCGGCUUUUAAUGAGUUGAUGUGAAAAGCUGCACGCACAUUAGAAUGCUGGCAAGGAUAUGGAGAAAGAGGAACACUCCUCCAUUGUUAGUGGGAUUGCAAGCUUGUACAACCACUCUGGAAAUCAGUGAAGCAGUUCCUCAGAAAACUGGACAUAGUACUACCGGAGUAUCCCACAAUACCUCUCCUGGGCAUAUAUCCAGAAGAUGUUCCAACCGGAGACAUGCUGUACUCUUGGAACUUUCUCGACAAAAGAAAACAUGCAUAAGACUCCUCACCUCUCUGCUUCUGCCCAUAAAACUUUCCUCUGAUUCAAAGGAAUCCAGCCAUCUCUCGUUAACUCACUCAGCCUUGAUUCAUUUAAUCACUCUAAAGCUCUGCUAAGUACUUGUUAUGUGCUGUGAAUGAAACUGUUGCUAAGUACAAGCAAAUAAACAUUGCCACUUUCCUAAUGUGGUAUCUAACAGGCACAGGGUAGUGAAAUGAGCCCUAUGGAAGAGCUGUGGGCAGGGCAACCUAAAGGAGGUUGACAACUUAAUGGCAAGUAGGAGAGCAUUUUUGAGAGAGAGUGUACUUAAAUUACCAUUCAAAUGUAAGAAAACUUAGACUGCAAAAGUGGGAAGGAAGGUCUUUGGGAGAGAAGAGUAAGAUUCUGAAGAUCUUGAGAUACAAAGAAAAAAAAUGAAACAUUUAGGAUAAUGGCUAGCAGAAAAUUUGAAAGUCAGGAGAGUGAAAGCUUCAGUUUUGCAGUCAAUCUUAAAUAUGAAUCUGAAUGUAUAUUUCCCUUCCUGGAAACUUUUCACUAGCUUCCAAACACUUAUGGAAUAAAGAAUGUAUGUCAGUGUU